rnacentral:lncRNA from 14 species
UCUCCCCAGAGUUGGAGAAACCUCUGCCCUGAUCAGGAAAAGCUGAAAAUUUUUUUGUGCUGCCCCUUGAUCCAAGGGCUGUUGCAUGCCCUGCGGGGCAAGGACUGUCCUCUCUGGGGACCCCGGCCUGGGCCCCAAACCCUCAGAUUCCUUGGCACUAGAUGGAGCACGUGAGCUUCCAGCAAAGCCAGAGCAGCCCUGGAGAAGAUCCUGCACUGUCUGAUCAGCUCUGUUCGGCUUUGGUUCGCCUGGCCAGCCCUGCCGGGGAGGAACUGGGGCAGAGGGAGGUGGGGGAGCCUCAUUUUCCCCAGCAGAACCUUCAGUUCGUGCCUGAGGUGUGCUGGAGGAGGAAAAGGAAGAUGGGAAGACCUGAUUGCCUUGGAGCAAAUUCAUCAUCCAGUUAAUAGAAUAGUUGGAUCUGCUGGAGGCAAGUUCAUCAAAUGUGGGAUGCACAACAAAUCCACUCUGGGCGCUGUCUCUGUUUCACCACGUGCCAUGAAUUCAGCAAUUCAUCACUGCCUGAAGCUUUCCUGACUUCCCUGGCAUUUGCAGGAAGGUGCAUGGUCACCCUGUGGAAGCAGAUCUCCAGGAGAGCCAUCCACCUCAUCCCUGGUGAGCACAUCCAGGUUCCUCCAGUUUUCCAGCAGGUGGGUGGUCACAGACUGGAGAGCUUGGCAGCUUUUUCAGUGCUGCUGUUUGCUGCAGGAACCACACAUUUUUACCUUUGUAUGGAAUAAUCCCGUCCUGAUGAAAUCCAGGAUUUGUGCAGCCAAGCUGACCUUGCAAGUGCCACCACCCUUUGCAGCUGCCCAGACACCAACCCUGCAUUUCCUGAUCCUCUUCCUCAGCUCUGCAAAUCCUCCUUCCUAAACCAAUCCUGGAGGACAGCUCCCAAUCCAUUUCCCAAUACUGGGCAGCAGCUCCCACACCAGGAUGCCCUUAUCUCUGUACAUCCCUGUGCAGGGGGGUCCUUGGCUGCCCCAGCCUGCCCCACCUUGCUGAUGCAUCUGCAGCCCUCCCUCAGGGCACAGGGGAGGCUGAGUGGAGCUUUCCCUUCUCCCACCACCCGGUCUUGGAGUGUGUGGGAAGCUCAGUGCUCCCGGGACGUUGGGAUGAGUCAGUGUUUGCACAUCCUGAGUCACUCCAGGGAGUUGCUAGAGAGGAGAGGGGGAUGCCCAGCCUUAUCUGGGGGUGUAAAUAUCCCAGGAAAUUCUGUCUGAAAGAAAAUUCCCAUUGAGAGGUCACCACCUUGUAGGGCCGCCACCAUGGACCACAAGUGUCACUCCAUGAAAAGAAGUUAUUUCCUGGUCCUGCUUCCAUGUGAAUCCUUUCAGAUGGCCCUCAGCUGGUUAUCUGGGAGGGGUGCCACAUCCCCAGCCCAUGGCUGUCCUUGGAAACUUCCUGGGACAUGCCAAGGUGUUCCUCUUGGCAGCUCCCUCAGAGCAAGUUAGUGGAACCAGGGCAUCCAACAGCCAGGGAGGCCAUGGAGGAAUGCCAGGCAAGUUCUCAAAGCAGGGCUUUUGGGAUGUCUUUUGAGGAGAAUGAAUUCCCAGCCCUCCCACUCAUUGCAAUUUUUAUCACUGUUUUGGGGCUUUUUUGAGUUAGAGAUGCUCCUGAGCUCAUGGAGGCUUUGGGAGUGGAUUGGCUCAGGAGUCCAUCCCUGGUGCUCAAAGCAGGUUUAAGAUUUAAAGGGGAGAGUGGACACCCUCACUGACACCAACAGGCACCUUGUCCUCUGUGCCUUGAUGAACCCCAGAGAACACCACAGGAUACUUCAAAUACACACCCAGGCUUUAGAUUUUUACCUCCAUUUCCAGCUUGAAUGCCAUGAAUUCCCAGGUCAAGAAGAGCUGGAAGAACCACCUCAGGAUAUUCUGUUCUGAGUCCCUGCCUUUAACAUGAACUGAAUUUUCUGUGCUUGCUCAGAGCAGAGGCUGAGCAGGGAGUGAGGCCAGAAAAACAGGGGGUCAUGUCAGACUUUCUUUUUCUCUCCUCUUAACACUGAAAUAAAAAUACAUCUCGAACUUGUUUUGGGAUUAACAAGAAAAAAAUUCCUCUUGAUGGGAACCAUCUGUGGCCGGGAGAUGCCGGCUGCUCUCUGCUUCCCACCCUCACCCAGACGCUGUCAUUCGGGGUGUGUUCCUCUCCCAAAUAUUAUUCCUCUCAUCCCUGUGCUGGUGGGAGGAAUCCCAACUAUUUAAGGAGGCUUUUCUCCCAGCAUCUCAAAGCAGCAGCAGCUGGUGACACCUCUGGAGGAUAAUAUUUGCUCUCCUCAUUACAGCACAGCUUGCUGGUGGCUGCUGGGCUCCGAGGGGGAGCACUGCAAGUGUCCUGGGUGUGACCUUUCCACCCCAGAUGUCACCUCAGGGUCACAGCAAACACCUCGAGGCCUCUCUGGCCUGU